GACGAACGCUGGCGGCGUGCCUAACACAUGCAAGUCGAGCGGAGGUACAAUGAGAGCAAUCGAGAUGUACUUUAGCGGCGGACGGGUGAGUAACGCGUGAGCAACCUGCCUAUCACAGGGGGAUAAGGCGGCGAAAGCCGCUCUAAUACCGCAUGAGACCCUCAAAGCGAUGCAAUGGGGGUGAAAGGGCGAUCCGGUGAGAGAUGGGCUCGCGUCCGAUUAGGUAGUUGGUAGGGUAAGGGCCUACCAAGCCAAUGAUCGGUAGCCGGCCUGAGAGGGUGAACGGCCACAUUGGAACUGAGAGACGGUCCAAACUCCUACGGGAGGCAGCAGUGGGGAAUAUUGGGCAAUGGGCGGAAGCCUGACCCAGCAACGCCGCGUGAGGGAAGAAGGUUUUCGGAUUGUAAACCUCUGUUCUUGGGGAAGAGGAGGAGACGGUACCCAAGGAGGAAGCCACGGCAAACUACGUG
rnacentral:rRNA from 1 species